rnacentral:rRNA from 1 species
AUUGAACGCUGGCGGCAGGCCUAACACAUGCAAGUCGAGCGGAUGAGAAGAGCUUGCUCUUCGAUUCAGCGGCGGACGGGUGAGUAAUGCCUAGGAAUCUGCCUGGUAGUGGGGGACAACGUUUCGAAAGGAACGCUAAUACCGCAUACGUCUACGGGAGAAAGCAGGGGACUUCGGGCCUUGCGCUAUCAGAUGAGCCUAGGUCGGAUUAGCUAGUUGGUGAGGUAAUGGCUCACCAAGGCUACGAUCCGUAACUGGUCUGAGAGGAUGAUCAGUCACACUGGAACUGAGACACGGUCCAGACUCUACGGGAGGCAGCAGUGGGGAAUAUUGGACAAUGGGCGAAAGCCUGAUCCAGCCAUGCCGCGUGUGUGAAGAAGGUCUUCGGAUUGUAAAGCACUUUAAGUUGGGAGGAAGGGCAGUAAGCUAAUACCUUGCUGUUUUGACGUUACCGACAGAAUAAGCACCGGCUAACUCUGUGC